rnacentral:rRNA from 1 species
GAUGAACGCUGGCGGCGUGCCUAAUACAUGCAAGUCGAGCGAACAGACGAGGAGCUUGCUCCUCUGACGUUAGCGGCGGACGGGUGAGUAACACGUGGAUAACCUACCUAUAAGACUGGGAUAACUUCGGGAAACCGGAGCUAAUACCGGAUAAUAUAUUGAACCGCAUGGUUCAAUAGUGAAAGACGGUUUUGCUGUCACUCAUAGAUGGAUCCGCGCCGCAUUAGCUAGUUGGUAAGGUAACGGCUUACCAAGGCAACGAUGCGUAGCCGACCUGAGAGGGUGAUCGGCCACACUGGAACUGAGACACGGUCCAGACUCCUACGGGAGGCAGCAGUAGGGAAUCUUCCGCAAUGGGCGAAAGCCUGACGGAGCAACGCCGCGUGAGUGAUGAAGGUCUUCGGAUCGUAAAACUCUGUUAUUAGGGAAGAACAAAUGUGUAAGUAACUAUGCACGUCUUGACGGUACCUAAUCAGAAAGCCACGGCUAACUACGUG